rnacentral:lncRNA from 1 species
GGAAAUCUUUCUACACUCUCAGUGCCAUCAGGGUGAAUGGGGUAAAGAUAGAUUUUCACACAUUCUGAGGCAGGGCAGUGCUGAUUGAGGGUAUGGUACCACUCUGAGAAACAACUACCGUGGACUUCAAUCAGCUCAAUGAACGCAGUGUAGCUUUCCCAGGCACCUGGUGGUUCUCAGCUUCUGUACCAACCAGUUUGGACAUCAGAAGAACUGUCAGAAUGAGUAGAUCCUGAACAGCCUUAUGUAUGUCUGCCCUGGGGUUGGGUACCAGCUCACCUUCAGUCUUACCCAAAAACGUGAUGUCAAUGCACAGAACAAGGAUGCUGUCUUUGCCUAUCUGAAAGACAAGCUGCGCUGCCCUUAUGAUGAUCCAUUCUCUCUCACAACAGGUCCCAAGCUCAUCAUG